UACGUAGGUGACCAGCGUUGUCCGGAUUUACUGGGCGUAAAGAGCGCGCAGGCGGUCGUUCAAGUCGAGUGUGAAAGCCCCCGGCUCAACUGGGGAGGGUCAUUCGAUACUGAUCGACUGGAAGGCAGGAGAGGGAAGCGGAAUUCCCGGUGUAGUGGUGAAAUGCGUAGAUAUCGGAAGGAACACCUGUGGCGAAAGCGGCUCUCUGGACCACAACUGACGCUGAGGCGCGAAAGCUAGGGGAGCAAACAGG
rnacentral:rRNA from 1 species